ACAGCAGUAGCCGCGGUAAUACGAAGGGGGCUAGCGUUGCUCGGAAUGACUGGGCGUAAAGGGCGCGUAGGCGGUUUUGACAGUCAGAUGUGAAAUUCCUGGGCUUAACCUGGGGGCUGCAUUUGAGACGUCAAGACUAGAGUGUGAGAGAGGGUUGUGGAAUUCCCAGUGUAGAGGUGAAAUUCGUAGAUAUUGGGAGGAACACCGGUGGCGAAGGCGGCAACCUGGCUCAUUACUGACGCUGAGGCGAGAAAGCGUGGGGAGCAAACAGGAUUAGAUACCCGGGUAGUCCCUGUCUCUUAUAA
rnacentral:rRNA from 1 species